rnacentral:ncRNA from 1 species
ACAGCCCCUAGAGAUAUCAUUCCUCCCAAACCGCCUUCGCAAGGCUAAUGAUGUUUACGUAUAG